rnacentral:rRNA from 1 species
UCGGCAGAAAUUCAUUUCGGAUUAGUGGCAGACGGGUGAGUAACGCGUGAGCAACCUACCUCUUACAAAGGGAUAGCCUCGGGAAACCGGGAUUAAUACCAUAUAACAUUGCGACGAAGCAUUUCGAUGUAAUCAAAGCUACGGCGGUAAGAGAUGGGCUCGCGUCCCAUUAACCGGAUGGUGAGGUAACGGCUCACCAUAGUGACGAUGGGUAACCGGCCUGAGAGGGUGAACGGUCACACUGGAACUGAGACACGGUCCAGACUCCUACGGGAGGCAGCAGUGGGGAAUAUUGCACAAUGGAGGGAACUCUGAUGCAGCGACGCCGCGUGAGUGAUGAAGGAAUUCGUUUCGUAAAACUCUGUUCUAUGGGAAGAAAAGGACUGUACCAUAGGAGAAAGCUCCGGCUAAAUACGUGCCAGCAGCCGCGGUAAUACGUAUGGAGCGAGCGUUGUCCGGAAUUAUUGGGCGUAAAGGGUGCGCAGGCGGCUUUACAAGUUGGAUGUGAAAUAUUGUGGCUCAACCACAAACGUGCAUCCAAAACUGCAAAGCUUGAGUUAAGGAGAGGUAAGUGGAAUUCCUGGUGUAGCGGUGGAAUGCGUAGAUAUCAGGAGGAAUACCGGUGGCGAAGGCGACUUACUGGACUUAAACUGACGCUCAGGCACGAAAGCGUGGGGAGCAAACAGGAUUAGAUACCCUGGUAGUCCACGCCGUAAACGAUGAGUGCUAGGUGUUGGGGGUCAAACCUCGGUGCCGCAAGCAAACGCAAUAAGCACUCC